rnacentral:ribozyme from 1 species
UAAAGAUAGAUGAAAAAGAAAGAAAAAAAGCCUUGCCAGCGCCGGCAUCAAAAAUGCAAACUAGUGCACACAUUUUUUUUAAAAACAUUUUUAUUUCUCUCUCUCUCUCUCUCUCUCU